CAGCAGCCGCGGUAACACGUAGGGUGCAAGCGUUAAUCGGAAUUACUGGGCGUAAAGCGUGCGCAGGCGGUUAUAUAAGACAGAUGUGAAAUCCCCGGGCUCAACCUGGGAACUGCAUUUGUGACUGUAUAGCUAGAGUACGGCAGAGGGGGAUGGAAUUCCGCGUGUAGCAGUGAAAUGCGUAGAUAUGCGGAGGAACACCGAUGGCGAAGGCAAUCCCCUGGGCCUGUACUGACGCUCAUGCACGAAAGCGUGGGGAGCAAACAGGAUUAGAUACCCGUGUAGUCCCUGUCUCUUAUAC
rnacentral:rRNA from 1 species